GACAAGAUGGCCGAGUGGUUAUGGCGUGUGACUCAAGCGUAAGCUUGCCUCAUUAGAGGCCGCAUUCUCAUGGGCUUUGCCCGCGGGGGUUCGAAUCCCCCUCUUGUCA